GCCCGCUCAGAACUUAAAGGAAUUGACGGGGCCCGGCACAAGCGGUGGAGUAUGUGGUUUAAUUCGAUGCAACGCGAAGAACCUUACCUGGUCUUGACAUCCCGGAGACCCUUAGGAAACUAGGGGGUGCUUCCAUCUGGAAGAAUCUGGAGACAGGUGCUGCAUGGCUGUCGUCAGCUCGUGUCGUGAGAUGUUGGGUUAAGUCCCGCAACGAGCGCAACCCUUGCCUUUAGUUGCCAGCAGUUCGGCUGGGCACUCUAAAGGGACUGCCGGUGUUAAACCGGAGGAAGGUGGGGAUGACGUCAAGUCCUCAUGGCCUUUAUGACCAGGGCUACACACGUACUACAAUGGCCGAUACAAAGGGCAGCGACACUGCGAGGUGAAGCCAAUCCCGUAAAAUCGGUCUCAGUCCGGAUUGGAGUCUGCAACUCGACUCCAUGAAGUUGGAAUCGCUAGUAAUCGUGGAUCAGCAUGCCACGGUGAAUACGUUCCCGGGCCUU
rnacentral:rRNA from 1 species